rnacentral:rRNA from 1 species
UAUGGCUCAGGAUGAACGCUAGCUACAGGCUUAACACAUGCAAGUCGAGGGGCAGCGAGAGGAAAGCUUGCUUCCUUGUCGGCGACCGGCGCACGGGUGAGUAACGCGUAUCCAACCUUCCGCAUAGUAGGGAAUAGCCCGGCGAAAGUCGGAUUAAUGCCCUAUGUUUUCCGAUGAGGACAUCUGAGCUGGAACAAAGAUUUAUCGCUAUGCGAUGGGGAUGCGUCUGAUUAGCUUGUGGCGGGUAACGGCCCACCAAGGCAACGAUCAGUAGGGGUUCUGAGAGGAAGGUCCCCCACAUUGGUACUGAGACACGGACCAAACUCCUACGGGAGGCAGCAGUGAGGAAUAUUGGUCAAUGGGCGCGAGCCUGAACCAGCCAAGUAGCGUGCAAGGAUGACUGCCCUAUGGGUUGUAAACUGCUUUUAUGCGGGAAUAAAGUCCACUACGUGUAGUGGUUUGUAUGUACCGCAUGAAUAAGGACCGGCUAAUUCCGUGCCAGCCGCUGC